AAUCAACGCUGGCGGCGUGCCUAACACAUGCAAGUCGAACGCGAAAGUCCCGCAAGGGAUUAGUAGAGUGGCAAACGGGUGAGUAACACGUGGGUGACCUGCCUUCGAGUGGGGGACAACGUCCCGAAAGGGACGCUAAUACCGCAUAACAUCCUGCCUUUGAAGAGGUGGAGAUCAAAGCUGGGGACCGCAAGGCCUGGCGCCGGAAGAGGGGCCCGCGUCUGAUUAGCUAGUUGGNGAGGUAACGGCUCACCAAGGCAACGAUCAGUAUCCGGCCUGAGAGGGCGGACGGACACACUGGGACUGAGACACGGCCCAGACUCCUACGGGAGGCAGCAGUGGGGAAUUGUUCGCAAUGGGCGCAAGCCUGACGACGCAACGCCGCGU
rnacentral:rRNA from 1 species